AAUCAUUGCCCAUUCAAAAGUUACAGGCAGCAAUUAAACACAACCAGCUCCGUAAGGCAGCAGCUCAGCCACCAGCUUAACGUCAAGAGGAGGAUGGGUUGGAUGUGAGUGGUGUUCCAGCUCAAGGAGCACAUACAGACAGUGCUUUGAUCUGCAGAGUACUGCCGGAAGAUGCACUCUCCUGGCACUGGGAGCGAGAUGAAUACACACAACUGGAUUUGGACUCAGGUGGAUUAUUAAUACAAGUGUCUCCACUUAAAGCAGCGCGAGGAUUUUAAAUCAAGACCUACAUUAAAGCACAGCUAAAAAGGGAACACAAACCUCUCAGGGCUCUGAUAGCUCAGCCAACAAUUCGGAGGCUGCAGAGGGAGAUCCUUUGCAUUAACAGCACUGCAAUCACUCACAGGCACACACAGACCCACUCGAGCAUACUGUAAACAAAGCUCCCUCUCCCAUCAUUGCAAUGACUCAUUUCAUCUGCAUGUCCAACAGAAUCAAGGUGUGAUUUAUUUCAAUAGAAAGGAAACGCUUCCUGUUCCACGUGGCACGUAACAAUGUUUGUUUCUAUUGAAUGGAGCCAUGCAAAUAAUUCAAGUCAGAGUGUACCAACAAAAUGCUCUGUAAGCACACCUGUACUACAAUGCUGGAAGAAAUCUGUAGAUACGAUCUUGCCAUUCUACAUUAAUAAACAGCAACAGCACAGGGACAGGGAGGCUGUGGUUCAAUACAAACCUCAGAAGCCAUUCCAUUCUGAUACUUCACGCUUUAUCAUACACCCAGUACAAGCACUCCUAAGUGCAGCCAUUCUUCUUCCCUUGCUGGAGUUCUUUUCUCAACAUUCACUCCACAUUUUCUUUUAGAGUGUGAGUUUAUAAUAAAAAUAAACUUUAAUAUCAGACUAUUUCACAUCAAUCACAACAGCAAGUGGUACAAAUAGUCUUGGAAAUACAGUGUGCAUCAAGGUCAGGCUCUGAAUGGCUUUACUACCACACACUGCGUACUGCAUAUAUCCACACUGAACACAACACUGCAUUCUUCUUUUUAUGAGAGUGCAUCUGUGCAUUUGCAUAUAUGCUGCUCCAUUCCUUGAAGCUCCUACACUCAAACUCGAGGCACCUGUGUGCAUGAAAAAGAAGCUUUAGAAAACACAGUACUUCAAUGAAGAGUGAGAGAUGUAUGGGGGCUCUCAGCAAACAGUGCUCUGGUGGAAUAAAAUACAAAGCUUGAAUGAAACAACGCGAUGUCAAUGCAAAGCAUGUUAUAAAGCCUGCAAAGAACAGCUGUUCUCACUGGAGUGACCCCUCUGAAGACACCUCCUUAUUGCAACAACUCCAACAAGUGACACAACGUUGUGCCAUCUCAAAAGACAGACCCACAGUUUGAGAAAGAUCCUUUCACUACACAAGAGCAGGAAUUCUGCCUCCCUCACACGACGUGACUUAGCUUGGCGGUUGGGGGUUAGGAAUCUAAAGCACUUAAUGCAUCCUCUGAUGGUUUGAGAAACACCCAGAACUACUACGGCGCUCUGUUUCAGGGCUUCACUUUGCCUUCCUUCACUAACUGCUCAUUUAGCUGACAAAGCUGCCUUAGAAAGCCAUCAUUAGGGCCAAUCUCUCUCUUUUGCCGGACAGUGACCAAAGCAGACUUGACAUCCAUGUUCUGGCGAAGCAUGAGGUAGGCGAUGACCAGCGUAGGAGAACGGCUGUAGCCCUCACGGCAAUGCACAAACACUUGUCCUGCAGGGAAAACAGGUCAUAACGUGGGUUAUAAUGGAACACACGAUGGAAAUGCAGCAUGAAACAAAGCGCAACAAUUAGCCCUUCAGUAUCCCGAGGACUCUCAACUGGGAAUUCUGAUGGGGGUAUGUCAAACUCGAUGCUAUCAUUCUGAUAGCUGGCACAGUCUGUCAUCAGGGCUAAUGAAGAAUAAAUAGUUCUACAUCACUCACACUACAGUGUAUUUGCUGCUGCAUUAUGAAGGCCGGCCUGCACCUAUCCAUACUUCUCCAAUCUCUAUUUGAGGAUGUCUUGUAGCUAAGGAUGACCAGGUACCAAACAGCACAAAUCAAUGAUGCACGGUUUAAAAUAUGCUGAAGACAGAUGCUGUCUGGUAUAUACUGUAUCUCUUCAAAGACACCCACCUUUCUGUCUGCACUGCUGUCAGUUCCCAUGAUAACUCCAUGCUGGAUCAUACCUGGCUGCUUGUCUGGCUCUUUAUGAAUCACACUAACACUCAAGUAAAAGAAACCACUAAUUAUGCAGUAACAAGAACCAGAAGUACAUUAUGCCAGCACCAAUGAAAAGCUUCCAGCUAACUGAUUAGGGAAAUUAUUCCCAUGUUUAUUGGAAAAAUGCUGACAGUUGGCAUCCACCAAUAAUUAAGCAGGCUGCUGCUCCCUCUGAGAAACCUAACUCAUUUUUAUUGCUUCUCAGCUGCUUCCUCUUUGCCCUGCUUUUCCAGACACAAAAUACAACCCCAGGCUUCCCCUCCAGAGUAAAUUCUUUCCUGAGACCACAGAACAGAUGAACCACACAUAGACUUGCUGAGGCCACGACUUGCUCAGAAGCCUGUUACCAUAUUUGCCUUGAGGUGCAUAUUCUGCUCAGCUCGAGGCAAACCUCUCAUCAGAAGCGAGUUGAACAGCUAAAACAAUUAAUUCUUUACAUUUCCUGAGAGCCUGCAGCCAUGAAUUAGCAGGAUUCAAAGAUUCUUAAGCAUGUAGAAGAGAACUGGCUUCCUCUCUACAGUCAGAAGCAAAAGGGUUUCUGGCCUUCCUCUGUGAAAGGCAGUGAGACUCCUGGGCUGCCCUGGGCAGAGCAGCUCUGCCUUCACUUUGCUCCCCUCCAGAACCUCAUGCAGCUACAAAGCUAAAAUGAAACUGCAGGAGAGAACAGCACUGCAUCCCUCAUCACUUUGCUACUGCUUUUGCUCUUCUCCUCACUGUCAAAAAACCCCUACUGUAUUUAAGUAGUGAGUUAAUCUUAAACCUGGUUCCACCAUCACCCAGCUACAAAGUUCUUCUGCUUACCAUGGUAGGAAAACAGCAGUCACAGGAGGCAAUAUUUAGACUGGAAGAAUGACAAAGUAGAAUUGCUGCUAUCAAUUCUGAUCUGAUUAGCUGAGGUUGGUGGGGACAGCCACAGCACAGCUGGCAUUGCUAAACCCUUCUUCCAGCUGCAGCCUGUAUCAGUGGGUCAUAGAACUAAUUGCAAGAGCUGUCAUUUAGCUUUUCAUAUCUUCCCAAACUGAAGGUAAAAUGUCUUUCAUUCUGGUAAAAGAACAUCACAGCUCCAGCUCCCCUAUUGCCCACUUCAGGAAAAGAACUCCUGGAACUGUGGGAGUUCUCAUUCCUCUUUGUUCACAUUUAGUCACGAAGCAAGAAAGAAAUGAAGCAUAUGUAGAAAUGAGUGGUAUGCUGCAAUAGUCAGAGCAGAGGCACUGUCUGGCCCACUGCACUAUGCCCUAGGAUUUCUGCUCUGUGGAAACACCGUAGAGAAAUGUGGCAAUCAACAGCAUUUCUCCUAUCAUCUCCAGCCUUCCUGGAAUCCCGGGGACUAAUGAGGUAAUUGUCACAUAAAAUAAUAAUAAGAUCAUAGAGACAGUCUCUAUCCGUACUGUAUAUUUGGAAAGCAAACAUACAGCAAGUUCAGCAAUGCAUUGCCUGCAUCAGUUUUGCCUUUCAAUGCUGUAAAACUACUUUUAGAUCCUGUAUUCACUUUCUGGGCUUUUCAUCUGUCUAAGGAAUAAUAAGGGCACGUCUUCCCAGGCAGCCACUACUUCAGGAUGCAGUUGCUGUUUCACUUUGCAAAGUCAUCCCUAAAAUGACACAGACUUCCACUUAACACAUACUGGAGGUCCACAUGCAUAGAGAGAUGACUAAGGUGUUUUACUGAGUAUUCAGGUGUCUUUGAUGCCAAGACUUGAUCUGAAUCACUGGCUUGCCUGUCCAGCUGAAAAUCUGAGCAAAGAACCAUUUUAAGCAGUGAAAUAAAGAGCUAAACCAUACGCAGCGUACAGAAAACAAGGCAGAAAGACAUUUCAGUUUGCCUUACCAUCCUUCUGGGAAAGUGCUUUCUCAAUAAAAUCAGCUGCCUCCUCAAAAUAUCGACUGAGGUUAAAUUCCUGCGUAUCGUUAGCUUUAAUGCCAUGGUAUGUGAUGCCUGUGCCUUCAUAGAAUUCUGCAUUAGUGUUCACAUGCAUGAAUGACUUCCCCUCUGCUGCAUUCAGAACAUGGGUUAUCCCCAGGCGCUGCAGCUUCAUAAUGUUCUUGGCUAUGAACCUGCGUGAUAAAAAGUGUCAAGAAAAUGAUUAGAACUCGGUGCCUCAGUAUUUAUGAUGUCCCCAAAAGCUACUGAUAACCAAAAGCUUUCAUUUUUCUGCUCAUGGAUGCUAAAUAUACAGCGCUCGAAUUAGCUGAAGAUUUGACAGGCAGAAAUAUUCAGAGCCUUGGACACUACUUGUAUGUCAGAGAAUGCUCCUCUCCUGGCUGACAGCCGAACAGAGAACACUGGGACUUAAUCCUCUGCUCCCUGCUAUGGCACACUUAUAACUCUGAACAUUAAACUCUGACCGAACUAAGAAAAUACAGGAGAUAACAGAAAUGCCUGAGUAAUUGCUCCUAUGAUUAACCACUUUCUCCAUAUGCUACUUUAAGAACCAGUAACAGACAGCCUCUGCUGGCAGCCUCCAAUGCUCCUUCUCAGGCCACAGGAAUACAGAAACCCAGAAAGUAAGGCUUAUAUGAUCACACUGCGUGGUUGCAUAGGACAAUUUUCACAUAAUUCAAGGCUAUAUGAACAUCCAGAGCAUUCCUUUCCUCCUAAUGACUGUUCACCCCUUAAAUUACCCUUAUGCACGAAUCCUCAUGCAUGAGUGAAGUUUCUACAUCUUCUCUCGGUGCCAAACAACUACGGCAAUGGGCCAAGUAUUUGUAAAGACUUCAUUACCCAAACAAAUGUUGACAGAUUUUUCCAUCUGGCAGGACAUCAUCUGUGCCAGGGGACAAGUAUCAGAGCCAAGGGAAUUCUGCUUGCAACACAAAAGUAAACCCUGAAGAGCAAGGCCAAAACAAAAGGUGUUAAUUCACCUGUGAGUUCCUCUGCUUCAUGUGGUGAGUCUAUGGCACAAGGAACAGAGCGUGGGUCAGUGCAUAUCUGACAGUGGUUGGGAUCAAUGUGAAUCUGCUUUGCAUUCACCCAAGCAAAUAAACCACGUCUUUUAAGAUGGAGCAAAAACUGCCCAACAGCACGUUUUCAUUUCUACUGUUACGUUCAUGCAGAAUUGCUCCUUCGCCACUCAAUUUAAUGUUAAUUUUGGGAGAAUGCCUUUCAGAUUCCUUACUGCACUCUGAGCCCAUCAGGAACACAGAACUGCUUUGGGGGUUAACCACACACAUUCAAGCAGCCAGAUAACUCAGAUAUGUGCUCUGCAAGCCUGGUAAAGAUGCACUCUGUCCAGCUGUCCUGCUCACUGACUAUGAGAUUAUACUCAAAUAUAUCCUGAUGUUGGCAGUGAUAAGAAAUUCUCUGUACUUCUGAUAUCAUCUGAAUUGUGUGACUGUGCUGCUGCUUGAAAAACACACUUGUAUGAACGUCACCAAUCUAAUAAUUCCCGUUUCAGUGAUAUUACAUUUUGACUCAUCUUCAGAACUCUUUGUCUGAUCGCUUUGAAAGGUUACAACUGUCUGCUGUGAUAUGCAAAAGCUCUCUUUUAUUUUAUCAUUUCACCUCUGUGUUUGCAUUACUGAUAACUUCCGUGCACUGCAUGGGAGAUGUGGUGCUUGACAGACAAAUUGCUAUCCCAC
rnacentral:lncRNA from 1 species